rnacentral:rRNA from 1 species
UACGUAGGGUGCGAGCGUUGUCCGGAUUUAUUGGGCGUAAAGAGCUCGUAGGCGGUCUGUCGCGUCUGCUGUGAAAACUCGGGGCUUAACCCCGGGCCUGCAGUGGGUACGGGCAGACUAGAGUGCGGUAGGGGAGACUGGAAUUCCUGGUGUAGCGGUGAAAUGCGCAGAUAUCAGGAGGAACACCGGUGGCGAAGGCGGGUCUCUGGGCCGAUACUGACGCUGAGGAGCGAAAGCGUGGGGAGCGAACAGG